CUUGGCAUAUUGUAAUAUGAUGAUGUUAGUAUAGGUACAUGUAGGAAUGAAUUAUACCGAUAUUUUAAACAUAAUAUUAUAAUAAGUGUAUGAUUCUAAUUAAAGUAAUAAUAGAUUGAGAAUUAUAAUUGAUUAGUCUUAUAUAUUUUUUCCAAAGCAAGCUUCAGAUUAUUAUUAUUUUUAAAUAGGUAUAAACAUUUUUAAGCGUGUUUAUUUUUAGUAAAGGACUAAUGUAAUUUAUUUUCUGCGAGAUUUCAGAAUAAUGAAGUUACAAGAGUCGGGACCUUGUGACACGCAGUGCCACCCUAAGGCCGGGUUACGAUCAGCCAGGUUGUGCGCUGCAUGCUGAGCAUCGGCCUGAGGAGCAUGCGGAUCGCCGGGCUGAGCUGCAUCCUGAGCGUCGUCCUGAGGAGCAUGCGGAUCGCCGGGCUGAGCUGCAUCGUGAACGUCGUCCUGAGGAGCAUGCGGAUCGCCGGGCUGAGCUGCAUCCUGAGCGUCGUCCUGAGGACCAUGCGGAUCACCGGGCUGACCUGCAUCCUGAGCGUCGGCCUGAGGAGCAUGCGGAUCGCCGGGCUGAGCUGCACGCUGAGCGUCCAUUUGAGCCGCAUGCAGAGCGGCGACCUGAAUUGCAUGCAGAGCGACAUGCGGAGCGACGUGACGACGCGGGACAGUUAAGAAGGUCACGUAGAUAAAAAUAUAUUAUGAAUAUUUAAACAUAGAGGGAUGGUCUUUCAUCACAGUCUCGCGUGUAAAGCACAUAUCAGAAAUUAAUAUAUCACAAAAUAUUUCUGUUUGGUAACAAUACCGAUGUUUGGUUUAAAAAAAAAGUAAACUAAUGUGUCUCGGUGUAUGUAAAGACCACAACUCACUUUGCUAUGUAGAAAUUCCAGGGCCUUGCUAAUACUUGAUAGCUUCAGUUCUAUUCUUUUACUACUUCGGUUUAAAGAUACUUUACUCUCAAAAAAUACAUACAGUCACUUACAUGAGAAGAGAACUUAUAAUUUAACUUAAUAACUAAUUUAUACAGUGUCGUACGCACCGCCAUACUUAAUAUCGCGCGAAAAACACAUCACAAAAACCAUAUAGUCAUUUACUUAUUUUGUAAAAUAUGCUGAGCUAGUUUGUACUUAAAUUUAUUGUGCCUAUGAUAGAGGUGUUGCUACCUAUUAUGAAAAAUGACAUGUUUAACCAAUGUGAUGUUAAUAUGUAGGCGAACGUGCAGUGGAUUGUAUUGUUCAUGGUAUCCAUAUACUAUAAAAGUGAAAGGUCAUUAAGACAUCACGAAGUCUCAGGAACUGCGAGUGCUGGGAGUCUUAAAUUUUGCUUGGGGGUUCCUUUAGAAUGUACGUACUCAUUAAGAGAUUUUGCGAAAUUCAAACGCCAAGGAGAUAAAAAUGGGUGGCAAAGUUUGUACGAAACUUCUAGUGUUAAUAGUAGGUUAUCUAAUUUACUAGAAAAUACCCAUUAUUUAAAUAAAGUAAAACGUAUUUAGGUAAUUAUCUUUAUAAACAAUCCUAACGAAGGGGUGAAAUAGGGGGAUUAAGUUUGUAUGGAAAAUAUUUAAUUUUUAUAGCUAUCGACUCCAAACUCACUACCCGUGCGAAGCCGGGGCGGGUUGCUAGUUACCUACAGAUAAAAUAAUAGGAUCUGGUAUUUUGGCUCUCUUGGCUCUCACACCGAAGAACUUUUGCAAUUAUUUUUUUAGGCAGUACAAUGAUUCUAGUUUAAAAAGUUUAGUUUACUUUAAGUUUAGUUUAGUUUUAGGAAAAAUGAAAGGGAAGAGAGAAAGGGGUAGACCUAGGAGAACAUUUAUGAAACAAAUAAAAGAAAAGGUGCAGGUCGUGUCGUAUCAGGAGGUGAAGGUUUUAGUGGGAAGAAGAGAGGAAUGGCGAUUACUCCACCGACAAGAGCGCAGCUCUCAAAUAAAGAGAGAAUGUUCUAGUUAGAAUCAUUUGAUUUAAUAUUUGGCUGAUUCAUAUGUUGGUUGAUAGUUAUCAACCAGACCGAAUUCCCAUCAGAAACAAAAUCUUCGAUAUUGCUAAUGUAGUGGGUUGAAUCAAGUUUUAGCAGGUACACUGGCCAGAUAAUCACUUGUCACAAAUGUAAGGAGAGGGGACAGUUUUAUACGUUGUUCCAAGUCAUUAAUUAAAUUUACAUUUUGUUGCAUACAGAGGUCACCAAGUUGGAAAUUGUUUUAGUUAGGCGGAGGAUAGAAGAAUUUAAGGAUAUUAUUAAAAAUAAAACAUUGUGCAUUUAUUUCUAUAGAUAACUAAAAAGGUUACCCAACACCAGAAUUUAUCUAGGAAGUGGGCUGUCAAUAAAAUAUUUGUUGAUUUCGGCAAUGGUGUUUGUUUGUUUGCUCAUGAAUUAAGAGUCCCAUAAUAACAUUCCUUCGUUUCUCCUUCUAUGGUUUGUGAGAUGGAAUGCUAACCUCAGCAACCUAGGUCUCAGAGUUUUUAUUGGGCCGCCAAGGUCAUGGUUUAUGUAACGACUAUGUACUUACAUCAGUAAAUAGUAACCGGGAUCAACGGUUUAAUGUGAUUCUCAAAGCACGAAACAUCUUACUUUCGGACAAUCGGAUGAUCAGUCUUUGAUGUCUUAACCAAACUGGGGAGUACAUUCCCUCAUUAAUUAAAGGCAUAGUUCAAUCGUUAAAAGAGGUAUCGCUAUAUGUAAGUGUCAAUGGAGUAGAUGCUCGGAUUGUAUGUAGAAUUGUUAAUGACAGUUUAUUAGACAUGCCAGUAGUAAUCGGACCGUCUUAGGACCGAUAUUGACAAUGACGUGCCCCAUCCGGGUUCGUGUAGCAAUGUGAAGUUAUUAUUAAAUGACGUCAACAGGUGUGGUCGAGUUUAUGGUGCACUCUCUGUAAGAGCCCAGACUCAUGUCAAGUUUAACGGUAGCGUUCUGUUGAAGAAUAGCAGGCAAAUCUGAUAAGCAAUAUUUCGUACGUGUGAGAACUUUUUAUCAUUGCCAAAAUGGACGUGUGGAUGUUUUAAAGCCACCUUGUUAUAUAUUUAUUUUUGUCGAGCGGUUAGGGUUGUAAAUAGUGAACCAGACAGGUGUACCUACCAUAGAGGUAUGAAUGUGGCUUCGACCAAAGUCAGGACCAUACGAUGAUAAGGAUGGUAAGGCGACAGACAUAGAAAGGCAGCAGUUAUUAGAUUUGCUCUAUAAAUACGUACAAGUAUUAUUUUGCAUUAUCACUUUAAGACUUGGGAGCACUAAUAUUAACAGCGGUGAACAUAGAAUUGGGUAGUUUCCUAGUUCAAAGAUAGGUAUGAAAUUGUGAUUGAUAAAUAAAGACAGAUCUAAAGGUAAAAAUAAACAUUUUUUUGUUUCUAUUUAGCUUCUUUAUGAAUUUUAAUAGGGAAAAUGUAAUUAAUAAGUGCGACAUUUGGGCAUGUUUUUCUACGACGUCACGGGUUGUUUUUUUUUUUUUUUUUUCAUACGGGUUCCAUAGUAAUUUCGUGUUUUGGGGUUUGGUGAAGGGUGACUGAUUUGACUAGUUGAAAACUACCCUGUUGAAUAGCCAACAUCCAGCUGUAUAUUGUCCUUAUUAACGGAAUAGAUAAAGGAAAAGGAAAUGGAACGUAAUAUGGUAGGUAAUAUGUUAGAGGCGGGUGUACUAAGGGAGUAUGUUUCAGAGUAUGCUAGUCCUACUUUAGGAGUUCGCAAAAAAGAGGGGUUCGCUGACGAUGUGUAAUGACUAUCGAAUGUUAUUAUUAAAAUGAUUAUGCUUGUGACCGAAAAUGAAAUAGCACGACUCAGCGGCCAAGCUUGCUUUGUUGCGCUUGAUCUCGCGUCAUCGGACUAUUUAUCGUUAUCACGGACGGUCAGCAAAGUUCGGUCGGACGGAGUUCAAUCGUUUGCCAUUCGAUCUGGCUGUAUACUAGCGGAUGAAGAAUAUGAUCUUGGACUCUGCUCGUUUUAUCAAGGCAACUUGGUAUAUGGACAAUGUUCUUAUCUUUGGGAAAGAUAUGUUUUUCAGAUGAUAGAAAUGAGAUUUCUUGUGUGACACGAUACAUUAUUUAGGAGACUAGAAUGACUCAUGUUGAUGUUUUAUCACGCAAUUCUAUUUCGGACACAGCAGACAUUCUCCCAUUCUCCCAUUCUAAAAAUAACUAAAAAAAUGACGAACAGAGCAAGGAAAACUUAUGCCUGCAUAUUUGGGACCGUAUUGGGUCAAUAAAAUUUUAAGCAGUAGUUACGCGAUACGUAAAAGACAACGUUUGGCUGCGGAUCAUAAGAUGUUGUGUAUACGUAUGUGGCGGUUUUAGACGUAAAUGAUAACAACUUUUCAAAUUAACAUUUUUGUUGAUGUAUUGUAAUUUGUGUUGUAUAACUGUGAGAGGCAUAUAGCUACAGAACAGUGUCUAUGUUUCAGGUCAAGUAUGUGAAUUGAUUGGUUCGUGUCUUGAUGAGAGCAAAGCAAAAGAAACACAGGCUCAGCUACUGUCACGAGACUUCUCGAUUAGCUCAGAUGGGAGACCUCCAUAAGGAUUUAACGAUUGGCUCAGAUUGGACGCCUCGAUAAGGUUUUACCGAUUGGCUCAGAUUGGAGACCUCGAUAAAAUUUAUCAAUUGGCUCAGAUUGGAGACCUCGAUAAGGAGUUAAUGGUUGGCUCAGAUUGGAUGCCUUGAUAAAGAUUUGUCGAUUGGCUCAGAUUGGACGCCUCGAUAAGGAUUUAACGAUUGGCUCAGAUUGGAGAUCUCGAUAACGAUUUAUUGAUUGGCUCAGAUUGGAGACUUAGAUUAGGAUUUAACGAUUAGCUCAGACUGGAGACCUCGAUAAGGAUUUAAAGAUUGGCUCAGAUUGGAUGCCUUGAUAAGAAUUUAUCGAAUGGCUCAGAUAGGAUGCUACAAAUUAUUUGUAUGAAUCAUUAGUUUAAUAAUGGGUAUCCGAUUGAUCGGAUCCUAAAAAGUUUUCAAGGUGAUUGAAUAGGCAUCGUAUCUUGUUUUAAAAAAUAUAUUAAGUACUAUUGUAAUUAACGAAAUACAAAAGUAACGUAAGAUUUAAGUAUUUUUUUAAAUGAUUCAUAUUUAGUUUGUAAAUUAAUUUGCAACUUUAGUUAUUAAUUUUCUUAAUUUAUUUUUUUGUCUUAUUCGUGUGAUUUGUUACUAAAACUUAAGUUUUAUUAGUAGUAUUUUUCCUGAUGGUUAAUGCUGUGCUUACCUACAUGUUAUUCGUUAAGAUUGGCCAAUAAGUAAAGUUCCUACUUAUUUGAUUAUUGUUUAAAAGAUUCUGAUGCAACUUUGUAACAUAAUUUGCUACUAUAGUUAUACAACAGUUACGAUAUUUGAGCCUGCUAUUAUUGUUUUAUUUAUUACUAAGUACUUAUCUGUAAUUUAUUGUUAAGAUUGAGCAACUGACCAAAGUACCGAUUGUUAGGGUUCCACCGGGUGUCGUGCGCGGGGACGCACACGUUGUCAGGAUGGACGAUUGUUAGGGUUCGUAAUGUUUAUUUAAUUAAUUAAUUAUUAUUAGAUUAUAUAACUUAAUAACAGACGGAAUAAAGUCGUGAAUCUGUGUCACGACUUUAUUAUUUUUAAUUUGGAACUGGCAUAUUAUUUCAUUUGUUUUUAUUUUGAUUUCUUCUUUUUCGAACGGGAACGCUUUCCCGCUUUUUUGAAAAGGCGGUGACGUGGAAUUUUGUUCGGUUGCGGUAAUCUGUUAUGAAGAGUUGAAGAGUUAACAUUGUUUAUGAAAAUAUAACAUUAUUCAAGAGAA